rnacentral:rRNA from 1 species
GACGAACGCUGGCGGCGUGCUUAACACAUGCAAGUCGAACGGAAAGGCUCCAGCUUGCUGGAGUACUCGAGUGGCGAACGGGUGAGUAACACGUGGGUAAUCUGCCCUGCACUCUGGGAUAAGCCUUGGAAACUGGGUCUAAUACUGGAUAUGACCUUUCUCCUUAUGGGGUUUGGUGGAAAGUUUUUCGGUGUAGGAUGAGCCCGCGGCCUAUCAGCUUGUUGGUGGGGUGAUGGCCUACCAAGGCGACGACGGGUAGCCGGCCUGAGAGGGUGAUCGGCCACAUUGGGACUGAGAUACGGCCCAGACUCCUACGGGAGGCAGCAGUGGGGAAUAUUGCACAAUGGGCGGAAGCCUGAUGCAGCGACGCCGCGUGAGGGAUGACGGCCUUCUGGUUGUAAACCUCUUUCAGCAGGGACGAAGCGUAAGUGACGGUACCUGCAGAAGAAGCACCGGCUAACUAUGUG